GGCUAGGAAAACAUCAACCGCCAUGAUAAAAGAAAGAAAAAAAAACAACAUAUCCCCCUCUCUUUCUCUUUCUGCAGUUCACUACGCUUACUCUGCGCAAAGUGAAGGUGGACAAAUACCUUGCUUGUUCCUUAUCUUAGCUCCCACUACUUUCUUUCGUCUUGGACAGGGUUUCGUCCGGGUUUCGUCAUUGCUAACGGGAAAAACAUGGCUUACGUUGAGAGAAUCGGUAAAAAAGGCAAAGCUUCCCUUGGAACUCGUUUGUCGCGCCAGUAUCUUCCGGUAGUAAGCCGGGUUGGAGGUAAUCGCGGUCCGCCCCUAAGCCCUAACUCAAGGGUGCUCGUAAAGGUCCGAUUUUCGUCCAAUUUUUCUGAAAAAUAAAUUGAUAUGUAGCUGAA